AUCAUCUUGGCGGAGUGGUUAACGCGACAGACUUGAAUUCCCAUACUCGAAAUCUGUUUCCUUCGGGAGCGUAGGUUCAAAUCCUGCAGAUGAUG